UUUCUAGAGAUAGAAAGUUACUUCGGUACAUCGGUGACAGGUGGUGCAUGGUUGUCGUCAGCUCGUGUCGUGAGAUGUGGUUAAGUCCCGCAACGAGCGCAACCCCUAUUGUUAGUUGCCAUCAUUCAGUUGGGCACUCUAGCGAGACUGCCGGUAAUAAACCGGAGGAAGGUGGGGAUGACGUCAAAUCAUCAUGCCCCUUAUGACCUGGGCUACACACGUGCUACAAUGGUUGGUACAACGAGUUGCGAGUCGGUGACGGCGAGCUAAUCUCUUAAAGCCAAUCUCAGUUCGGAUUGUAGGCUGCAACUCGCCUACAUGAAGUCGGAAUCGCUAGUAAUCGCGGAUCAGCACGCCGCGGUGAAUACGUUCCCGGGCCUU
rnacentral:rRNA from 1 species